AUUUGUGGUGUCCAGAGAUGGUCUCAUGUGGGACUUCAAGCCUGGCCGGGGUCAAGGGCGGAGUCGGAGCUUAAGCUGUUUAGACCUUCCAGGGUCUUGGACCGGCAUUCCGGGAGGGAGUCGUACCACAGAGACGGCAGCCUAGAGCGGCCACUCCCGCCCCCAUUCCCCUCCACUCCGCCCCGCCGCCUCUAUCCCGGAAGUUGCUGCUAGGCGCUCGAAAGCGAGCACCUCAUCUCAGAGAUCUGGAGCGGCCGCGCUUGCGGAGCUGUCACCAUGCCUCUGGCUAGAGAUCUAUUACCCCCUU
rnacentral:lncRNA from 1 species